rnacentral:rRNA from 1 species
AAGAAGCUUGCUUCUUUGCUGACGAGUGGCGGACGGGUGAGUAAUGUCUGGGAAACUGCCUGAUGGAGGGGGAUAACUACUGGAAACGGUAGCUAAUACCGCAUAAUGUCGCAAGACCAAAGAGGGGGACCUUCGGGCCUCUUGCCAUCGGAUGUGCCCAGAUGGGAUUAGCUUGUUGGUGGGGUAACGGCUCACCCAGGCGACGAUCCCUAGCUGGUCUGAGAGGAUGACCAGCCACACUGGAACUGAGACACGGUCCAGACUCCUACGGGAGGCAGCAGUGGGGAAUAUUGCACAAUGGGCGCAAGCCUGAUGCAGCCAUGCCGCGUGUAUGAAGAAGGCCUUCGGGUUGUA